UACAGGGGGGGCAAGCGUUGUUCGGAAUUACUGGGCGUAAAGGGUCUGUAGGUGGCCAACUAAGUCAGACGUGAAAUCCCUCAGCUUAACUGGGGAACUGCGUCUGAUACUGGAUGGCUUGAGUGUGGGAGAGGUUGAUGGAAUUCCAGGUGUAGCGGUGAAAUGCGUAGAUAUCUGGAAGAACACCAGUGGCGAAGGCGGUCAACUGGCCCGUUAACUGACGCUGAGGCACGAAAGCGUGGGGAGCGAACAGG
rnacentral:rRNA from 1 species